rfam:Otolemur garnettii clone CH256-154N14, complete sequence.
UGCUCACUCUUUCUGUGAUGGACACAGGUAUGUAGCGAGAGAGACAUUGAGUCUAGAGCUGCUUUUAGGGACCUGCUGAUGGCAUAGCCCUCUCUCUCUCUGGGAGGCUGAGUGCACCAUCACAGUGAGGCAGUCAGGAGCCAGGGCUUCCAUGACACCUGCCUAGCUCUGUACCUGGGGGGAGGGGCGGAAUCUGGUAAAAAUGUUCCAGAGUUGCUCUUGGGUACCUACUUGGCAUAUUCUUCUCAAUGUCUAAUGUGGUAAUUUUAGUAUUUAUAACCUCAUUUGAUCAUAUAUUUUG